ensembl:Mt_tRNA mt-Tc mitochondrially encoded tRNA cysteine
GGUCUUAAGGUGAUAUUCAUGUCGAAUUGCAAAUUCGAAGGUGUAGAGAAAUCCUCUACUAAGACUU